GAGAAAGCACGCAAGAACUGCUAAUUCAUGCCCCCAAGCUUAAUAACUUGGCUUUCUCA
rnacentral:tRNA from 2 species